AAAAAAACUUGGGAGUUCAUUUCAUAACUCAUUAGAAUGAACCUUGACAGCUUCCUCUCAAAAUUUCUCUCAAGUUCUCCUCCCCAUCUUCAAAGAAACUUCCCAGUUGUUCAAAUGUUACUUCAAGGUGAAGUAAAAUAAAGAAAUUAGAGGGUUUUGGCAGCCAAGGUGCAAUCCUUCGUCUACGAGCUCGUAUGAGCAUCAAAGGUUAGACAUCUAUCGGAAGGAUUGACUUGUCGUAGUCAUUCAAAGAUGGAUUCAAGGUUCAAAUGAACAGGUUGGUAGACUUUCUCGCUAGAUAUCUGCGAAUAUGUAGUUGAUGUGUUGUAAGCUCCAUUUCUAUCUGGAGCCGAGUCGAGUCUGGUAUUCUUAUGGAUGUAUAAAGAUUAUGGAUAGGUCGGGUCCUAUCCCGACAGAAUGACAGUUGUAUUGUUCGAGUCAUCACAGAGGCUUCAUAGACAUGCAUUUUUAGUCAUUUGUACAUACUUGUAUAGCAGUCAUAUGUUUCAGGCCUGACAACCCACUUAUAUGUAUACAUAUGCCAGUGGCAUUGUUCAUGUGUUCAUAAGAGUUCGUUAUAUUUUUUGACUCAGGUUCAUAAGUAUUCGCAUAAGUUCUCAUAUAGAUGAUUCGCUCGGCCAGGUUAAGACACCGAGUGCCGGUCCGCCUCACCCAAGUUUGGGGCGGGACACUCUCUCACAGUAUUCAUGCUUGUUCUGGUUAAGAGUGUGAUUGUGGAUACUUCGGUGCUGAAUGAGAAGAUUGGGACUAUGAUUUGGUGCACCUGGUGGAGUGUCGUGAUUGAUAACGUUUGGAACUUUAUUGCAUUUCGUGAUUUCUAUUCGCUUUGUAGUUACUGCUUUGAGCGUAACAUGCAUGAUA